rnacentral:rRNA from 1 species
UACAGAGGUCUCAAGCGUUGUUCGGAUUCAUUGGGCGUAAAGGGUGCGUAGGCGGCGCGGUAAGUCGGGGUGUGAAAUCUUGGAGCUUAACUCCGAAACUGCAUUCGAUACUGGAUGGCUUGAGUUCGGGAGAGGGAUGCGGAAUUCCAGGUGUAGCGGUGAAAUGCGUAGAUAUCUGGAGGAACACCGGUGGCGAAAGGCGGCAUCCUGGACCGACACUGACGCUGAGG